UAAGUAAGUCGGGUGAUCGCGUGCUGACCGCACGAGGAAAGUCCGUGCACCGUAGAGCAAGGAUGCCGGAUAAUGUCCGGUGGGGGCGACCCUAAGGCUAGUGCAACAGAAAGAUACCGCCCAGCCCUCAAUCAAGCUAUGAAACCCUAUCAUAUUCAAAGUUUCAUGCAUUGAUUGAGCGCUGGGUAAGGAUGGAAAGGUGAGGUAAGAGCUCACCAGCGUACUGGCGACUGUACGGCUAUGUAAACCCCAUCCGGUGCAAGAUCAAAACAGGAAACCAGGCAGUGGCUCGCUGCCUCCGAAAAGGUAGAUCGCUUGAGGCGACCGGCAACGGCCGUCCUAGACAGAUGAUCAUCGAACACAGAACACGGCUUAUAGAUUUGCUUAAUCA
rnacentral:RNase_P_RNA from 1 species